AAAGAAAUAUCUUCAACCAUUUCGAUGAAACAUUUAAAUGGCCACUCUUCGCCGAUCAAUUCCAUUUAACCGAAACUCAAUAAUCCCAUUAGAUUAAACUACUUCCCCAUUCAUCUCGAUAUUAAUUCAAUUUAAAAUUCAUCCCAUCCACGCCAUAGCGAAGCGUUAAAAUCUAUGAAACCCGAGUUUUCGUCGAAAAUCACCGACUGGAAAACGGAAUUUUCCUUUCCGCUUGAAAUUUAUCAUUGGAUGGAUACUUAACCGAUUUACGAGCCGGCAAAUUUACACCGCGAUUCGUCACGUCCACUACGAAUUUCGAUAAACCGGUCAGCUUAUAAAAGCCGACCAAAACGAUGCGCGGCCGAUAAUGCAGCGUCAGCCAUGCACCGUACCGUGUUUUGGUUAAGCGUGAUCACGCUCGCGAUCCUCUUGUUUUGGACUGUGGAACGUGGAAACGCCACUUCGGACCCCGAUCCCCGGAAUAUAAUUUACAUCAUCACUCAUGGGAGAAGGAAACACAAAGGGAAGAUCAUUGAGAUUCACAGACAUCAUCCGAAGCACAAGUUGAACAUCAUACUCAUCAAUUCGUAAAUAAAUCUCGAACGGUGAGGUUAAAGUGGGUAUAAUCGAUCGAGAAAUGUUCGUGUGUAUAAAUUUUUUUAAAAUGACGGAGAACCAGGAAAUGUUUCCUUUUUGAGAAAAAGAUCAGAGAACUGAGGAAAUAACGAGUGCACAAUGGACAAUUGUAAAAUGUGUAUUGAGACUAUGAUAUAGUUAUGUAAAAAUAUGAUGCUUUAUCGUUAAAUGCAUGCAAAUGUUUAAUGUUAAAAAUGAAUAUUCGUAUACGUUUACAUGUAAUCCUAUUUCUUAUGGAGAUUAAUGAAUAUGUUUUGUUUCACGCGAUAUUUCGUGUUUAAACGCACAAGUUUGUACGUUUCGUAUAACUUACGAGUCAGUCUUUGUCGAGCGACGUCAUGCUCAACGACACUCGUAAGUUAGGCGUUUAUUAUGGAAUUAUAUGCAAUUCUAACGGUAUGUAGGCGAUCGUCCCACCAUGGCAGGAACUUAACUAUCGUGCAGAGUGAUAAAUAUUACAGUUAUUACGCAUAUGUAUAUGCAACAGUUGUUAAACAAGGGAACAAGAACUAGAAAGAGCAAGAUAUUACAAGAGUGAAUCGAUUCAAACGUUUCUUACUUGGAUUUAAAAUAUUAAAAGAAUAUUCUCGAAACGUUAAUAUUAUCCAAACGAUAAGUACUUAAAUCACCAUGAGAAUCGAAAUGCAGUGGCAAUCGAACCGAGGUUAAUCAAUUAAUCAUCAAUUCCUCUUGGCAAACUUCCAAUUCCUGAUCCUGUGCUUUGUAUCCGCCGUUGCACACUCCUUCACGAUUUCACUUUCGUUCACGAGGGAUAUGCUUGAAGAGCUAAUCACGAGGGAUAAAGAAAGAUAGAGAGAGAUACAGAGUUUCGUUUUGAGCUGAAUAUCUAAGAGGCGCAAAAGAGAUAGUGUAGCCAAGCUGCUCAACAAUUAAUUGCACGGACAAAACGUAGUCGUAGAAUAUAUAAACGUAGAAUGUAGAAGACUAGUAAUACCCACUCUAUUUUUCUAUUUUUAUAUUUAUCCAUAGCUUCGACAUUGUCCAAGAUCAAUCAUAGACAGUAUGUAAUAUAGUGGGGCAUAUAACAGAGCUAAAAAUUUCAAGUUUUAUUGACUAUUUUUGCAAUUCAUAUCUUUGCUUUUGUCUAAAAUCUUCAGUUUCCAAUCUUAAUUAAUUUCGCAACUCUUAUGUUCACAGCAACCAUGAGCAAUAGAAAAUGUUAGGGCCUAAAAUCUGAAGAUUCCAUUUCGCUAAUUUCGCCAUCCCUAGCUUUACCCUUG